AUUGAACGCUGGCGGCAGGCUUAACACAUGCAAGUCGAACGAGUGGCGGACGGGUGAGUAAUGCUUGGGAAUUUAGCCUAUGGAGGGGGAUAACUCCGGGAAACUGUAGCUAAUACCGCUUACCAUAGGAUGAGCCCACGUGGGAUGAGGUAGUUGGUGAGGUAAAGGCUCACCAAGCCGACGAUCUCUAGCUGGUCUGAGAGGAUGACCAGCCACACUGGGACGGAGACACGGGCAAGACUCCUACGGGAGGAAGCAGUGGGGAAUAGUGCGCAAUGGGGGCAACCUGACGCAGCCAUGCCGCGUGACUGAAGAAGGCCGUCGGGUUGUAAAGUUCUUUCGGUAGCGAGGCGUUAACUACAGAAGAAGCACCGGCUAACUCCGUGCCAGCAGCCGCGGUAAUAC
rnacentral:rRNA from 1 species